rnacentral:rRNA from 1 species
GAUGAACGCUGGCGGCGUGCCUAAUACAUGCAAGUCGAGCGAACAGACGAGGAGCUUGCUCCUCUGACGUUAGCGGCGGACGGGUGAGUAACACGUGGAUAACCUACCUAUAAGACUGGGAUAACUUCGGGAAACCGGAGCUAAUACCGGAUAAUAUAUUGAACCGCAUGGUUCAAUAGUGAAAGACGGUUUUGCUGGCACUUAUAGAUGGAUCCGCGCCGCAUUAGCUAGUUGGUAAGGUAACGGCUUACCAAGGCAACGAUGCGUAGCCGACCUGAGAGGGUGAUCGGCCACACUGGAACUGAGACACGGUCCAGACUCCUACGGGAGGCAGCAGUAGGGAAUCUUCCGCAAUGGGCGAAAGCCUGACGGAGCAACGCCGCGUGAGUGAUGAAGGUCUUCGGAUCGUAAAACUCUGUUAUUAGGGAAGAACAAAUGUGUAAGUAACUAUGCACGUCUUGACGGUACCUAAUCAGAAAGCCCCGGCUAACUACGUG